rnacentral:rRNA from 1 species
GGGGGGGGGGGGGGGGGGGGCGGGGGGGGGCGGGGCGGGCGGGUGGGGGGGGCGGGCGGGGGGAGGCAGCGGCGGGCGGGUGGGUAAUGCCGGGGAAUCUGCCUGGCAGGGGGGGAUAACGUCCGGAAACGGGCGCUAAUACCGCAUACGUCCUGAGGGAGAAAGUGGGGGAUCUGCGGACCUCACGCUAUCAGAUGAGCCUAGGUCGGAUUAGCUAGUUGGUGGGGUAAAGGCCUACCAAGGCGACGAUCCGUAACUGGUCUGAGAGGAUGAUCAGUCACACUGGAACUGAGACACGGUCCAGACUCCUACGGGAGGCAGCAGUGGGGAAUAUUGGACAAUGGGCGAAAGCCUGAUCCAGCCAUGCCGCGUGUGUGAAGAAGGUCUUCGGAUUGUAAAGCACUUUAAGUUGGGAGGAAGGGCAGUAAGUUAAUACCUUGCUGUUUUGACGUUACCAACAGAAUAAGCACCGGCUAACUUCGUG